UACGGGAGGCAGCAGUGGGGAAUAUUGCACAAUGGGCGCAAGCCUGAUGCAGCCAUGCCGCGUGUAUGAAAAAGGCCUUCGGGUUGUAAAGUACUUUCAGUCGUGAGGAAGGUGUUAAGGUUAAUAACCUUAGCAAUUGACGUUAGCGACAGAAGAAGCACCGGCUAACUCCGUGCCAGCAGCCGCGGUAAUACGGAGGGUGCGAGCGUUAAUCGGAAUUACUGGGCGUAAAGGGCACGCAGGCGGUUAAUUAAGUUGGAUGUGAAAUCCCCGGGCUUAACCUGGGAAUGGCAUUCAAGACUGGUUAGCUAGAGUCUUGUAGAGGGGGUAGAAUUCCAUGUGUAGCGGUGAAAUGCGUAGAGAUGUGGAGGAAUACCGGUGGCGAAGGCGGCCCCCUGGACAAAGACUGACGCUCAUGUGCGAAAGCGUGGGGAGCAAAACAGGGAUUAGAUACC
rnacentral:rRNA from 1 species